rnacentral:rRNA from 1 species
ACAGGCCUAACACAUGCAAGUCGAGCGGUAACAUUUCUAGCUUGCUGGUUGAUGACGAGCGGCGGACGGGUGCGUAACACGUAGGAAUCUGCCCGGUAGUGGGGGAUAGCCCGGAGAAAUCCGGAUUAAUACCGCAUACGCCUUAAGAGGGAAAGCAGGGGACCCGUUUCUUUUAUAAGGAGCGAACCUUGCGCUAUCGGAUGAGCCUGCGUCGGAUUAGCUUGUUGGUGGGGUAAAGGCCUACCAAGGCGACGAUCCGUAGCUGGUCUGAGAGGAUGAUCAGCCACACUGGGACUGAGACACGGCCCAGACUCCUACGGGAGGCAGCAGUGGGGAAUAUUGCACAAUGGGCGCAAGCCUGAUGCAGCCAUGCCGCGUGUGUGAAGAAGGCCCUAGGGUUGUAAAGCACUUUCAGCGAGGAGGAAAGGUUCAAGGUUAAUACCCUUGAGCUGUGACGUUACUCGCAGAAGAAGCACCGGCUAACUCCGUGCCAGCAGCCGCGGUAAUACGGAGGGUGCGAGCGUUAAUCGGAAUUACUGGGCGUAAAGCGUGCGUAGGCGGCUUGUUAAGUUGGAUGUGAAAGCCCCGGGCUUAACCUGGGAACUGCAUCCAAAACUGGCAAGCUAGAGU